CCUACGGGAGGCAGCAGUAGGGAAUCUUCCACAAUGGGCGAAAGCCUGAUGGAGCAACGCCGCGUGGGUGAAGAAGGUCUUCGGAUCGUAAAACCCUGUUGUUAGAGAAGAAAGUGCGUGAGAGUAACUGUUCACGUUUCGACGGUAUCUAACCAUAAAGCCACGGCUAACUACGUGACAGCAGCCGCGGUAAUACGUAGGUGGCAAGCGUUAUCCGGAUUUAUUGGGCGUAAAGGGAACGCAGGCGGUCUUUUAAGUCUGAUGUGAAAGCCUUCGGCUUAACCGGAGUAGUGCAUUGGAAACUGGGAGACUUGAGUGCAGAAGAGGAGAGUGGAACUCCAUGGGUAGCGGUGAAAUGCGUAGAUAUAUGGAAGAACACCAGUGGCGAAAGCGGCUCUCUGGUCUGUAACUGACGCUGAGGUUCGAAAGCGUGGGUAGCAAACAGGAUUAGAUACCCCUGUAGUC
rnacentral:rRNA from 1 species